rfam:Salmonella enterica subsp. arizonae serovar 62:z4,z23:--, complete genome.
UCUGGCGGCCGUAGCGCGGUGGUCCCACCUGACCCCAUGCCGAACUCAGAAGUGAAACGCCGUAGCGCCGAUGGUAGUGUGGGGUCUCCCCAUGCGAGAGUAGGGAACUGCCAGAC